GAUGAACGCUAGCGGCAGGCCUAACACAUGCAAGUCGAGGGAUAAGCUUUCGGGCUGAAACCGGCGUACGGGUGCGUAACGCGUAUACAAUCUGCCUUUCACUGGGAGAUAGCCCGAAGAAAUUUGGAUUAAUACCCCAUAGAAUAAUGGUGUGGCAUCAUAUUAUUAUUAAAGCUACGGUGGUGAAAGAUGAGUAUGCGUUCUAUUAGCUAGUUGGAGAGGUAACGGCUCCCCAAGGCAACGAUAGAUAGGGGUUCUGAGAGGGAUGUCCCCCACACUGGUACUGAGAUACGGACCAGACUCUACGGGAGGCAGCAGUGAGGAAUAUUGGACAAUGGUCGGAAGACUGAUCCAGCCAUGCCGCGUGCAGGAUGAAGGUCUUAUGGAUUGUAAACUGCUUUUGCAGGGGAAGAAUAAGGACUACGUGUAGUUUGAUGACGGUACUCUGUGAAUAAGCAUCGGCUA
rnacentral:rRNA from 1 species